rnacentral:rRNA from 1 species
CGAUCUCUGCCCUGUCUCACCAGUGCACUCGGAGGAAUUCUAGCACCACCGAAAGCGGUGGUUACCCGCAUCAAGACGAGAAGACCCCGUGGAGCUUUACUACAGGUUCGUAUUGUUAUUUGGCUAAACAUGUGUAGGAUAGGUGGGAGACUUUGAAGUUAAGACGCUAGUCUUAGUGGAGUCAUCCUUGAAAUACCACCCUUGUUUAGUUGAAUAACUAACUUGCUACCAUUAUCUGGUAGGAGGACAGUGCGUGCUGGGUAGUUUGACUGGGGCGGUCGCCUCCUAAAAAGUAGCGGAGGCGUUCAAAGGUACCCUCAAUACGGUCAGAAACCGUAUGUAGAGCGCAAAGGUAAAAGGGUGCUUGACUGUGAGACCUACAAGUCGAGCAGGUGCGAAAGCAGGACUUAGUGAUCCGGCAGUUCCUUGUGGAAGGGCUGUCGCUCAACGGAUAAAAGCUACCCCGGGGAUAACAGGCUAAUCUUCCCCAAGAGAUCACAUCGACGGGAAGGUUUGGCACCUCGAUGUCGGCUCAUCGCAUCCUGGAGCUGAAGUCGGUUCCAAGGGUUGGGCUGUUCG